rnacentral:misc_RNA from 1 species
AAAAAUAUUUGGUCUCGCGCCAAAUUUACACCUGUGUACACCAUUGUCUGUAUUUGGUAGCUCGAGCGCGCUCCGGAAGCUCAACACUUCCAUUAGGGGCGCCUACCCUUGCGGGUCACAUCCCGCUUGGGUUGGGCUACCGCCUUUUUUUUGAAAAACCCUUUUUGUUUUGUCUUUUUGUCUGAACGAAGAGUUGAUCUUAAUUGAUUAAUGAUUUGAAAA